rnacentral:rRNA from 1 species
AACGAACGCUGGCGGCAUGCCUAACACAUGCAAGUCGAACGAGACCUUCGGGUCUAGUGGCGCACGGGUGCGUAACGCGUGGGAACCUUCCCUUAGGUUCGGAAUAACUCCCCGAAAGGGGUGCUAAUACCGGAUAAUGUCUUCGGACCAAAGAUUUAUCGCCUUUGGAUGUGCCCGCGUUGGAUUAGCUAGUUGUUAGGGUAAAAGCCUACCAAGGCGACGAUCCAUAGCUGGUCUGAGAGGCUGAUCAGCCACACUGGGACUGAGACACGGCCCAGACUCCUACGGGAGGCAGCAGUGGGGAAUAUUGGAAAAUGGGCGAAAGCCUGAUCCAGCAAUGACGCGUGAGUGAUGAAGGCCUUAGGGUUGUAAAGCUCUUUUACCCGGGAUGAUAAUGACAGUACCGGGAGAAUAAGCUCCGGCUAACUCCGUG